rnacentral:rRNA from 1 species
ACCGGCGCACGGGUGAGUAACACGUAUCCAACCUGCCGUCUACUCUUGGACAGCCUUCUGAAAGGAAGAUUAAUACAAGAUGGCAUCAUGAGUCCGCAUGUUCACAUGAUUAAAGGUAUUCCGGUAGACGAUGGGGAUGCGUUCCAUUAGAUAGUAGGCGGGGUAACGGCCCACCUAGUCUUCGAUGGAUAGGGGUUCUGAGAGGAAGGUCCCCCACAUUGGAACUGAGACACGGUCCAAACUCCUACGGGAGGCAGCUG